ACAAAAAAACUGAAACUUUAUCUCCUAAUAUCCGUCCAUUUUUGCAAAAUCAAAUUUGUGUCGGUUAUGUGACCAAUGACCAUACACUUGUUUCAAAUAAUCAUACGCUUAUCAAUUUCCACAGACAGGUUAAUGGUGUAUACCUGCUUCUGAGCUGCCAUGCAAAGGCUCUGUUAUCUCUUGAAUUUAUCCAUUGCCAGCUUUAUCCUGCAGUCAUGGAUAAAGUUUGCAUUAGUCUUUGCCAGCGAGGUUCCCAAAACUACAGUUAGCAUUAAAAGCUGGUGUGUUUUAUGACAGAGUGACAAAUAUGACUAUUUGGGGAAACCAUUCAACAACUCAGGUUCCUAAUUUCUUGAAUGCCAAAAUUAAUGGGAGGCCAGUAAAAGAAGUCAUCAAAGAUACAAAGUGGCUAGAAGAGGAUUUUCCUAUAACUGUUCAAAAGGUACACAAUUCCUGAUUGAUUGGGACAACUAAGAGAAUAUUGUGUAC